GGUUAAGUGACUAAGCGUACACGGUGGAUGCCUUGGCAGUCAGAGGCGAUGAAAGACGUAGUAACUUGCGAUAAGCCCAGAUUAGGUAGUAACAACCAUUUGAGUCUGGGAUUUCUGAAUGGGGAAACCCACGUGCAUAAGCACGUAUCCUUACCUGAAUACAUAGGGUAAGGAGGCGAACCGGGGGAACUGAAACAUCUAAGUACCCCGAGGAAAAGAAAUCAACCGAGAUUCCGAAAGUAGCGGCGAGCGAAAUUGGACUAGCCCUUAAGCUUUACACGCGUUAGACGAACGGUCUGGAAAGUCCGACGAUACAGGGUGAUAGUCCCGUAGUUGACGACGUGUGUUCAGUGAAAUCGAGUAGGGCGGGACACGUGAUAUCCUGUCUGAAUAUGGGGGGACCAUCCUCCAAGGCUAAAUACUACUGACUGACCGAUAGUGAACCAGUACCGUGAGGGAAAGGCGAAAAGAACCCCUGUGAGGGGAGUGAAAUAGAACCUGAAACCGUGUACGUACAAGCAGUAGGAGCAGGCUUUGUCCUGUGACUGCGUACCUUUUGUAUAAUGGGUCAGCGACUUAUAUUCAGUGGCAAGGUUAACCAUCUAGGGGAGCCGUAGGGAAACCGAGUCUUAACUGGGCGUUCAGUCUCUGGAUAUAGACCCGAAACCAGGUGAUCUAGCCAUGGGCAGGUUGAAGGUUGAGUAACAUCAACUGGAGGACCGAACCGACUAAUGUUGAAAAAUUAGCGGAUGACUUGUGGCUAGGGGUGAAAGGCCAAUCAAACCUGGAGAUAGCUGGUUCUCCCCGAAAGCUAUUUAGGUAGCGCCUCGGACGAAUACUACUGGGGGUAGAGCACUGUUAAGGCUAGGGGGUCAUCCCGACUUACCAACCCUUUGCAAACUCCGAAUACCAGUAAGUACUAUCCGGGAGACACACGGCGGGUGCUAACGUCCGUCGUGGAGAGGGAAACAACCCAGACCGCCAGCUAAGGUCCCAAAUUACUACUAAGUGGGAAACGAUGUGGGAAGGCUCAGACAGCCAGGAUGUUGGCUUAGAAGCAGCCAUCAUUUAAAGAAAGCGUAAUAGCUCACUGGUCGAGUCGGCCUGCGCGGAAGAUGUAACGGGGCUAAGUAGUAAACCGAAGCUGCGGCAAUACUCUUUGAGUAUUGGGUAGGGGAGCGUUCUGUAAGCGGUUGAAGGUGUGUGGUAACGCAUGCUGGACGUAUCAGAAGUGCGAAUGCUGACAUGAGUAACGAUAAAGGGGGUGAAAAACCUCCUCGCCGGAAGACCAAGGGUUCCUGUCCAACGUUAAUCGGGGCAGGGUAAGUCGACCCCUAAGGCGAGGCCGAAAGGCGUAGUCGAUGGGAAACGGGUUAAUAUUCCCGUACUUCUUACAAUUGCGAUGGGGGGACGGAGAAGGCUAGGUGGGCCUGGCGACGGUUGUCCAGGUUCAAGUGCGUAGGCUUAAGAGUUAGGUAAAUCCGGCUCUUUUUAAGGCUGAGACACGACGUCGAGCACCUACGGGUGUGAAGUCAUUGAUGCCAUGCUUCCAGGAAAAGCCUCUAAGCUUCAGAUUGUAAGGAAUCGUACCCCAAACCGACACAGGUGGUCGGGUAGAGAAUACCAAGGCGCUUGAGAGAACUCGGGUGAAGGAACUAGGCAAAAUGGUACCGUAACUUCGGGAGAAGGUACGCUCUUGAUGGUGAAGUCCCUUGCGGAUGGAGCUGACGAGAGUCGCAGAUACCAGGUGGCUGCAACUGUUUAUUAAAAACACAGCACUGUGCAAAAUCGUAAGAUGACGUAUACGGUGUGACGCCUGCCCGGUGCCGGAAGGUUAAUUGAUGGGGUUAGACUUCGGUCGAAGCUCUUGAUCGAAGCCCCGGUAAACGGCGGCCGUAACUAUAACGGUCCUAAGGUAGCGAAAUUCCUUGUCGGGUAAGUUCCGACCUGCACGAAUGGCGUAAUGAUGGCCACGCUGUCUCCACCCGAGACUCAGUGAAAUUGAAAUCGCUGUGAAGAUGCAGUGUACCCGCGGCUAGACGGAAAGACCCCGUGAACCUUUACUACAGCUUGGCACUGAACAUUGACCCUACAUGUGUAGGAUAGGUGGGAGGCUUUGAAGCACGUACGCCAGUAUGUGUGGAGCCGUCCUUGAAAUACCACCCUUGUAGUGUUGAUGUUCUAACGUCGACCCCUAAUCGGGGUUACGGACAGUGCCUGGUGGGUAGUUUGACUGGGGCGGUCUCCUCCCAAAGAGUAACGGAGGAGCACGAAGGUGGGCUAAUCACGGUUGGACAUCGUGAGGUUAGUGCAAUGGCAUAAGCCCGCUUGACUGCGAGAAUGACAAUUCGAGCAGGUGCGAAAGCAGGUCAUAGUGAUCCGGUGGUUCUGAAUGGAAGGGCCAUCGCUCAACGGAUAAAAGGUACUCCGGGGAUAACAGGCUGAUACCGCCCAAGAGUUCAUAUCGACGGCGGUGUUUGGCACCUCGAUGUCGGCUCAUCACAUCCUGGGGCUGAAGUCGGUCCCAAGGGUAUGGCUGUUCGCCAUUUAAAGUGGUACGCGAGCUGGGUUUAGAACGUCGUGAGACAGUUCGGUCCCUAUCUGCCGUGGGCGUUGGAAGAUUGAAGGGGGCUGCUCCUAGUACGAGAGGACCGGAGUGGACGAACCUCUGGUGUUCGGGUUGUGUCGCCAGACGCAUUGCCCGGUAGCUAAGUUCGGAAUCGAUAACCGCUGAAAGCAUCUAAGCGGGAAGCGAGCCCUGAGAUGAGUCUUCCCUGAUACUUUAAGUAUCCUAAAGGGUUGUCGGAGACUACGACGUUGAUAGGUCAGGUGUGUAAGUGCUGUGAGGCAUUGAGCUAACUGAUACUAAUUGCCCGUGAGGCUUAACCAU
rnacentral:rRNA from 1 species